rnacentral:rRNA from 1 species
CACGUAGGGGGCGAGCGUUGUCCGGAUUUAUUGGGCGUAAAGGGCUCGUAGGCGGCUCAGUAAGUCGGGUGUGAAACCUCCAGGCUCAACCUGGAGACGCCACUCGAUACUGCUGUGGCUAGAGUCCGGUAGGGGAGCAUGGAAUUCCUGGUGUAGCGGUGAAAUGCGCAGAUAUCAGGAGGAACACCAGUGGCGAAGGCGGUGCUCUGGGCCGGAACUGACGCUGAGGAGCGAAAGCGUGGGUAGCAAACAGG